rnacentral:rRNA from 1 species
CGUGAGUGAAGAAGGCCUUCGGGUUGUAAAGCUCUUCAGACGGAAAGAAAUCGCACAGGUUAAUACCUUGUGUGGAUGACGGUACCGUAAGAAGAAGCACCGGCUAACUACGUGCCAGCAGCCGCGGUAAUACGUAGGGUGCGAGCGUUAAUCGGAAUUACUGGGCGUAAAGCGUGCGCAGGCGGUUAUGUAAGACAGAUGUGAAAUCCCCGGGCUCAACCUGGGAACUGCGUUUGUGACUGCAUAACUAGAGUACGGCAGAGGGAGGUGGAAUUCCGCGUGUAGCAGUGAAAAUGCGUAGAGAUGCGGAGGAACACCGAUGGCGAAGGCAGCCUCCUGGGCCAGUACUGACGCUCAUGCACGAAAGCGUGGGGAGCAAACAGGAUUAGAUACCCUGGUAGUCCACGCCCCUAAACGAUGUCAACUAGUUGUUCGGUGAGGAGACUCAUUGAGUAACGCAGCUAACGCGUGAAGUUGACCGCCUGGGGAGUACGGCCGCAAGGUUAAAAACUCAAAGGAAUUGACGGGG